GAUGUCAUGAUGUGCCAAAAAGCCUGUUUAGCUUUGCCACCAUAUUCUUCACUGUUUCCUUGGCACAUGCCCAGUUGGCAUAGCUCAUCUUUGGUAUUCAAUUGGAUGACCUAAAUACCUUCCAGAGAUACAUCUCGAGAAUAGCCUGCAGUGUGAAAACAGUGUCUUAUCCAGAAGGCGCUGACUGACACAGGCAGUGGGAAGUUUUCAGAACUCAGUAGUCCCGUCUGCUCUGCUGCUUUGAACAGUGGAGGGACUGAAACAGUCGUCACAGAGCGUAACCAGGGAUGGAACCAGAGGCUGACCGUGAUUGUCAGAUGCAGGAUGCUCAUGGAACAUGAGGUGAGUCUGGUGCAGAGGGCUGGUCGGAUUCCACCCGCAUCAACCCCACCCCUGUCGCAGCUGCUCAGAGGCACCAGCUUUUGCAGGCAGUGUUUGUGUUGUCAGGGCUUUUUGUUGUUUGACUCUUUAUAUGUCAAAGUUAAUGAUGACUUCUAAUUAGUACUCUGAUUAUUCAAAGGGGAUAAAGAAGAUAAUAUACAAAAAUGUAAAAAUAUCAAACUGAAUAGUGAAAUGAAAGUAAAAAUAAAUUAUGAUGAGGCUAAGAAACACAUUCUGGAAAUACAAAUAUGUUCGUAAUUAAUGGGCCUACAGUUCAGCCUACCUGGCGUUAAUUUCUUUUUAAUGUUUAUUUUUAAGUGUGUGUGUGUGUGUGUCUGUCUGUCUGUCUGUCUGUCUUUAAAACAGCAAGUGCUUUUAACUGUUGAGUCCUUGCCCAAAGAGUUUUAAUAGUCAGUUGAAAAGAGUAGCCUGAUUUGUAGUAUAAUUAAUAAUGUCCUUGAGAGUAAGACGUUAUCAGGAGAUGAAGCUGCCUGUUAAGGGUAUUAGUUGUUCUCUGGACUGUUAACAUUGA